rnacentral:rRNA from 1 species
UCGAGAAUCUUUCGCAAUGCCCGAAAGGGUGACGAAGCGACGCCGCGUGCGGGAAGAAGGCCUUCGGGUUGUAAACCGCUGUCGGGAGUUAAGAAAUGCAAGGAUGUUAAUAGCAUCUUUGUUUGACUAAGGCUCCGGAGGAAGCCACGGCUAACUCUGUGCCAGCAGCCGCGGUAAUACAGAGGCGGCAAGCGUUGUUCGGAAUUAUUGGGCGUAAAGAGCACGUAGGCGGCUGUGUAAGUCGGUUGUGAAAGCCUUCCGCUUAACGGAAGAACGGCAUCCGAUACUGCAUAGCUCGAGUGCGGGAGGGGAGAGUGGAACUUCUGGUGGAGCGGUGAAAUGCGUAGAUAUCAGAAGGAACACCGGCGGCGAAGGCGACUCUCUGGCCCGUAACUGACGCUGAGUGUGCGAAAGCUAGGGGAGCAAACGGGAUUAGAUACCCACGUAGUCCCUGAGCGGGCUGGCAAGGCGCAU